GACAGAGGAUGCAAACGUUGCUCGGAAUUACUGGGCGUAAAGCGCGUGUAGGCGGUCUGAUAAGUCGGACGUGAAAUCCCGGGGCUCAACCCCGGAAGAGCGCUCGAUACUGUCUGACUUGGGUUCUGAAGAGGAGAGCGGAAUUCCCGGUGUAGAGGUGAAAUUCGUAGAUAUCGGGAGGAACACCAGUGGCGAAGGCGGCUCUCUGGGCAGAUACCGACGCUGAGACGCGAAAGCGUGGGAAGCAAACAGG
rnacentral:rRNA from 1 species